rnacentral:rRNA from 1 species
AACGAACGCUGGCGGCAUGCCUUACACAUGCAAGUCGAACGGCAGCGGACCUUCGGGUGCCGGCGAGUGGCGAACGGGUGAGUAAUAUAUCGGAACGUACCUUUCAGUGGGGGAUAACGUAGCGAAAGUUACGCUAAUACCGCAUAUUCUGUGAGCAGGAAAGCAGGGGAUCGCAAGACCUUGCGCUGAUUGAGCGGCCGAUAUCAGAUUAGCUAGUUGGUGAGGUAAAGGCUCACCAAGGCGACGAUCUGUAGCGGGUCUGAGAGGAUGAUCCGCCACACUGGAACUGAGACACGGUCCAGACUCCUACGGGAGGCAGCAGUGGGGAAUUUUGGACAAUGGGCGCAAGCCUGAUCCAGCCAUGCCGCGUGAGUGAAGAAGGCCUUCGG